rnacentral:piRNA from 1 species
UGAUUAGAAUAAGGAGUUGGUUG